rnacentral:rRNA from 1 species
CCUACGGGCGGCUGCAGUGGGGAAUAUUGGACAAUGGGCGCAAGCCUGAUCCAGCAAUGCCGCGUGUGUGAAGAAGGCCUGCGGGUUGUAAAGCACUUUAAGCAGGAAAGACGGGGUGAAAGUUAAUACCUUUCAUCAUUGACGUUACCUGCAGAAUAAGCACCGGCUAACUCCGUGCCAGCAGCCGCGGUAAUACGGAGGGUGCGAGCGUUGAUCGGAAUUACUGGGCGUAAAGCGAUCGUUGGCGGUUGAAAGACCUGGGCUUAAGCUGGGAAGUGAGGUGGAUACUGUCGGGCUAGAGUGUGGUAGAGGGGAGUGGAAUUUCCGGUGUAGCAGUGAAAUGCGUAGAGAUCGGAAGGAACACCAGUGGCGAAGGCGGCUCCCUGGACUAACACUGACGCUGAGGUGCGAAAGCGUGGGGAGCAAACAGGAUUAGAUACCCGGGUAGUC